AACGUAGGUGGCGAGCGUUAUCCGGAUUGACUGGGCGUAAAGGGUGUGCAGGCGGGGCGUCAAGUGGUGUAUGAAAUCUCCUGGCUCAUCCAGGAGGGGUUAUGCCAGACUGGCGCUCUAGAGUGCGAGAGAGGGGCGUGGAAUUCCGGGUGUAGUGGUGAAAUGCGUAGAGAUCCGGAGGAACCCCAGAGGCGAAGGCGGCGCCCUGGCUCGCAACUGACGCUCAGCCACGACAGCAUGGGGAGCGAACGGG
rnacentral:rRNA from 1 species